UACGGAGGGUGCGAGCGUUGUUCGGAUUGACUGGGCGUAAAGGGCGUGUAGGCGGUCGGCCAAGUCUGGUGUGAAAGCCCGGGGCUCAGCUCCGGAAGUGCGCCGGAAACUAGCUGGCUGGAGCACGGUAGAGGAGGGUGGAAUUCCUGGUGUAGCGGUGAAAUGCGUAGAUAUCAGGAGGAACACCGGCGGCGAAGGCGGCCCUCUGGACCGUUGCUGACGCUGAGACGCGAAAGCGUGGGGAGCAAACAGG
rnacentral:rRNA from 1 species